GACGUAGGUGGCGAACGUUAUCCGGAAUUAUUGGGCGUAAAGGGUGCGUAGGUGGCCUGACAAGUUAUCAGUGGCAAAUCGAGGCUCAACCUCGUGGAAACUGGUAAUACUGUUCGGCUUGAGUACAGGAGAGGUUAACGGAACUCUAUGUGGAGCGGUAAAAUGCACAGAUAUAUAGAAGAACAUCAAUAAAGGCGAAGGCAGUUAACUAUUCUGUUACUGACGCUGAGGCACGAAAGCUAGGGGAGCAAACAGG
rnacentral:rRNA from 1 species